rnacentral:tRNA from 1 species
GCCGCCGUGGCGGAACGGGCAGACGCGCGACGCUCAGGACGUCGUGAGCCACGAGCUCGUGGGGGUUCAAGUCCCUCCGGCGGCA